UACAGAGGUCUCGAGCGUUGUUCGGAUUCAUUGGGCGUAAAGGGCGCGUAGGCGGCGGGGUAAGUCUGGUGUGAAAUCUUGGAGCUUAACUCCGAAACUGCAUUCGAUACUGCCGUGCUUGAGGACUGGAGAGGAGACUGGAAUUUACGGUGUAGCGGUGAAAUGCGUAGAUAUCGUAAGGAAGACCAGUGGCGAAGGCGGUCUCCUGGGGCAUUCUUGACGCUGGAUGCGCGAAAGCUGGGGGAGCGAACGGG
rnacentral:rRNA from 1 species